UUUCACAUCGUAAAUUUAGACGUGGAUGUCGUGAAUCUGAACAAGAAAGUGAAACAAGUACAAUUGGCAGUUUUACCGGAUAUUUUGGUGUCAGAUGGAAUCUGCUACUACCCUAAUACCAAGAAUUCCCUGCCCUAUGUCUUGAGAAGAUCCUCCGUUGGAAAAAAUAGGAAAACAUAUCCAUCAACCAUCAAGUCAACGUUUGAUACCUACACAGAAGCUAGAAUCAAGUUGGCAGGAAUGAAUUCUGACAUUGAUACUACAGAUUCUCAACAUGAGGCAUCUGCUGCUGUGAAUUAGGAGGGUAGACCCAAACGCAAAAAGAGGAAACCUACAAGACAAUUGAGCGCAGAUGAAUCAGCAGAAGACUCAGAUAGUGAUUCUUAUUUGGAAGAUUGUGACGAUGAUGUUCUACUGGCUUAUGUGCUGAAAAAAAUAAAACUGCCACAUGUUAUGUACCCCCACAAUCUUCUACGGAACCUGAUAGACAGGUCUUUACUGUUCCUCUUACUGUCAAUGAUGUAAGAAGCAGCCAGCAACCAACAGCUGGAUUAGUUAAUCAGUUGAACCAGCCAGCAAUAAUGCCUCCACCUCGUCAGCAAUCUUUUAUUCUAGACCAUGUAUCCAACGGAGAACCAUCAAGUAGUUGUCAUCGUGAAAGUUAUCACGCUCCACCGCGUUCUCAACAGCAGCUCUACCCAACUUCUGAUUCAUGGUCACACAAUAGUGCCAUGCAGCAGCAAACACACACUGCAGUAUCAAACGAAACUUUUCAGAAUGACCAAUACUCUACAAGUGCCCCAUCAGAUUAUUUGAACUCUCCACAGCCUGGAACUUCUGGUGUGAACUAUCACAUCAAUGGUUAUCAGCAACAAUCCAGGAUUUCAUAGAACAGAUAUACUUAACUGAAAUCGGUCGUGUUGUGAACACUGUUCCAGAGACUCCUUUAUUGACUCAAAAUCUUCAAAGCAACACCCCUGAUGCAGUUUCAGCUCUGUCUCGAAGAGAACGCCGAGCAGGAAUCUUUUGAAUUGUCAGUUUUCAAGUUCGUAGCCCAAAUUUCUCAAGGGAUUGAGAAACUUUCAAAAGCUUUACAAGUAAUAAUAAGUAUCACGAUUGAGAAAGGACAAUCUUCAAUCGCAUUGCCAACGAUGGAAUUCGACGGCCUACCUGUUAAAGAUAUUGAAUCACUACGAUUGUUGUUGUUCUUUGUUCGUUUUUUUUCAUUUGUGUUGAUUUACCUCCCUUGUUUCCAUCAAACCCGUCUCAACACAAAAAAUAAUCUUGAAUUGUCUUACACUUAUCGCUGUAUUUGUAAGUGGAAAAUACAAUGAGUUUUACAUUUAA